GACGAACGCUGGCGGCGUGCUUAACACAUGCAAGUCGAAGAUAGUGGCGGACGGGUGAGUAAUACGUGGGUAACCUGCCCUCCUUUUGGGGAUGGGCGGUGGAAACGGGGUCUAAUACCGAAGAAAGGGGGAUGGGCUCGCGGCCUGUCGGCUUGUUGGUGGGGUGCAGGGCUAUCAAGGCGGUGCCGGGUGGCCGGCAUGAGGGGCAGACCGUGCACAUUGGGACGGCGAUACGGCCCAGAGACCCACGGGAGGCGGCAGUGGGGGCUAUUGCACAAGGGGCGACAGGCUGAUGCAGCGACGCCGCGUGGGGGUUGAGGGCGUUCGGGUUGUAUACCUCUAUCGCUAUCGAACGGGUAGGUGAAGAGAAAGCGACGGCUAACUACGUGCCAGCAGCCGCGGUAAUAC
rnacentral:rRNA from 1 species